GCAGCAGUGAGCACUGUGCACCAGCAGGAUACCUGCCCUGGGAACAGAGACGGCACUGAGUGUUGAUGGGAUUGAGUGAAAUGUGUCAUAAAACAGCCAAUUCCCUCAGGACAACAUGAGUGAAUCCAUCUAAAAAGCUAGCUUAAUUAAACAGGCUGGUAUAAAUUAGUGUUUUACAGCAAGCGAGGCCUGUAUGUUUACAAGAUUAAUUGAACCAUUUUUCAUACCUGAGAGGUCAUCAGGGAGCGGAGGGGCUGCCAGGCAGAGAGCAGAUGGAUGGCGCUGGGCAGAGCACACUGUGGAGAGAGAAUGACUGAGCAGCCGAGGAUGAGCGAGGAUGUGGGAGUGUGUCUGUGCACAAGAGCCCCAGUCAUCUUCAUCACCCUCACUGGGGUGAGGAGCUCACCCUCAUCCACUUCUCUCCUCCUGCCACUGCCUGGCGAUGUGGUGUUAAGCUUCACUGCACAACAUUUGAUUUCGUAGCAGCGAGGGAAUCUGACACCUCCGACGAGAACUCAGCUAACCUUUGCAGAAGGGGAACUGAAAGACUCCUGUGACACUUUACAACUUGAUUGUCCUGUCAUCUUACUCAGGAGAAUGAGGUGCAGGGGAUGAAUCUCUGACAGCUUAAGUUUUAUUUGGUAGAUAAUGUACUUAUUUGUGCUGGACUGGUGACCCAUCCAGGAUGGAGACCUACCAUGUAUCCAGUGCUCAUGGGAUUGCAGCCCUGACCGGGAAGGAACUGGGUUCUUGUGAUGGAUGGGUGGGC
rnacentral:lncRNA from 1 species